AGUGUGACGUCAUGCAAAGCAUCGUCAAAUUUGUAUUUAAGCGCCCGCUGCUGGAAGAACUUUCACAGUACUAAGCGAGCAAUCAUGGUGCGCAUUUGGAGCUUAAGCACAUUCGUGGUUCUGAUCACAUUUUCCUUACUUUUGUCCACGAUGCCGGGAUCUGUCUUUGCAGCAACGGGAAAAAGAAGACGAAAACCACCCAAAGGCGGCCCAGGAAAACCAAACCUAAAACCACCUAGAGGCCGCUGACCUGUCUUUAACGCCACAGAAAAGAGCGAAUGCAAUUUACCAAUAUUGUCAUGAAUGCCACAGGAUCCCACGGACUACAAGAGUUUUGGUGCAAAAUAAAGUUUUAUGGAGUUGUCGCU